GGGGGGCCGGCAAGACAGACGGAACGGGGGUGCUAAAGCAGGAAAGGGGGCAAGAAAGCAAGGAAGAAAAGAUGCAGCCAGAAAGAAAAGAUAGUUUGUAGAAGAAAGCCAUGUUGAAAGAAAGGAAGAAAUAAAUGUAGAGAGUCCCAUCUGACUUUUCAGAUUCAUUAUUUCUGUAUCCUCCUUGUGUUCACCAUUCUGCUUCCCGCUCCCUGUAUCCCUCAGCUUUUCUUGCCAGACUAAGUGGGUUUAGGUAGCUUAAAAGCCAGCAAUAAGUGCUUGUUCUUAAACUCUUGAAGUGUUUCACUGCAGUUAAAUGUUUUUGCAUUCAUAUCUGCAGGAUUUGACCCAUAAUAUUGUUUUGCAUUUGUAGAAAAAUGCAUUUUAAAUACUAUUGAUAGUGCUCAGUGUAUUUAUAAUGCCUGCAUCGUGGUAGAAGGAUGAUGAAUAUUCAUCGUCAGUGUAUUUCUGGAGUUUAGAAACAGGGGAGAGCACACUUUACAGCUUAAGGCCUCAUACAACAAGACCACAUUAGACUGUCCUCUGAUCACAUUGAAUGUCCUACCUGAUCCUGAGAAACCUGUCUGCUUGAAUGUAAAAUACAACAAAAAUGCUUCUUUUCCAGCAGGAGGUACCUUCCCUGAUGUUAUGGUUAGUGUCCUUUCUGAAGAUGACACCGUUCUUGAAAAUAUUAAUCCAGCACGGAUUUCUAUGAAGACGUGGGAAAUGCAGAGCAGCAGAACUAGGAUGCCAGUUGAUGUUGCAACAUUUAGCUGUAGCAGAGUGAAGGAUGACAAGGAAGAUGGCUUCUUCUACUUCAGGUAUAAAAGGCAUUUCUGGGUCAAUACUUAAAGUUGCAGUAAUAUUGUAUAGACAUGAUGUGCCAGAACCUAGUGCUGGCUGAAAACAGUCCUGAAGGCGAUAGCACUGAAUAUAUUCUUGUAUUUGAGGCAGAUGUGCCAGCUUUGAAGAAACCUUUGGAACCAUACUGUCUGUCGUUUAUGUUUUACAAUGAAUAGGUAUUUAUUUCUGUAGAUUUCAAGAAGCAGCAGCAGAUGGCAGCACUUACAAGGGAGAGAGACCCAUUAUCACAGUCCAUAGGUGUUUACAGAAAUUGGUUUGAUACUACUCAUCAGUUUGUAACUGAAAUUAAAUGAGAAAUAGAUACAAGGUUCUCCUUCUGUGCUGCAGCAACUCUUGCACUUCUGGGAAAGCUGGAUGCUAUCGAUGUGGGGAAGGCAGUAGAAUUUGUUCUGUCCUGUAUGAACUUUGAUGGAGGAUUUGGCUGCAGACCAGGUUCUGAAUCACAUGUGGGACAGAGCACCACUAAUUUUGCAGCUGCAAGCCCAGAAAGCUGCCAUCUGCUCAAAGUUAUUACUAAACUCAGGAUUUUAACACCACUAGAAAUAGUAAUGUCGAACACUGCUUGUGAUGCAGGGAGCACAACAAAAUUAUUCAGUCUGAUUACAGAACACUUUAAGGUGACUUGGGCAUCACACGCAUUCAGUGACAUUGACCUGCGUAUCUUCAUUCCCUGUUGACCAUGGAAAGCUUGAUAAUCAUCCCUUUAGCUUAAGCCUUGGCAAAGGAAAACUACAGCUUGAAUGUGAGAAUGUGGCUUUUACAACUGUCCAAAGAAAAUACUUCAAUGAAACAAAAGGUUUGGAAUACAUAGAGCAAUUGUGUGCAUCUGAAUUCAGCACCAUUUUCAUAGAGAGUCAAUCAAAGUGUGUUUAACUAAGGAGAAGACACCGUGUCCAGAUAAGUUUUUAACAGCUUUUUUACAUUGUUAGUACACAAGUCCGGGGCUUGUUGCGGAAGUUAGAAUAUCAUAACAGAGCUAUUGUUUUAUUUUGCUCUCCAGGGUCAGUGUUUCUGAUAUUGCUAGAAAUUUAAAUAGAAGCCUGUUAUUUAUUGAGUUUAGUUUUCAGAGGUUUCCUCUUUCUCCUUUUUACUCUUUCCUUGACAAUACACCUUAACAGCUGUAGUUGCCUUUCUGGCCUCAGGAAAUGUUGUCCUUGUACCAACCAUUUUACAUAGUGAUACUUGGUGACCUGAGUCUUCAUUUCAAGCCACACGUAACUACUGAAAUAUGUGUGUUCACAAUACCAGCUGUGUAGUGUGGGGUGUGAAGUGUACAGAUACUCAAACAUUCAUCAAUAUUUACAUGCAUAGAUGUGCACUAUAUGUGGGUGGUGAGUAUUUAAAACAUGAUGCUUUGGCAGUGCUGUCAGCCCUCAGUAGUUGUAAAGCAGAAGUGUGCAUGUGAUUUCUUUAGUGCACCGCUUGGCCUUGUGGGAUUUAAAUAGCAUGCUCAUUAAAGAUUGUUUCUUUCCAAAGUACUACUGUCUUGCAGCUGCUGCAGCUUUGCUAAAAUAUGUUGAAUUUAUUCAAAAUUCAGUUUAUGCUCCUAAAUCACUCCAGGUGUGUUUUCAGGGGAGGGAGAAAACUGCUAUGAUAGAUUCAUCAUCGGCAUAAAACCUCGAUCUAGUCAUUAAUAACAGAGGUUCUCGGUAAGAAUAGCAAGUUUACAAAUUACAAUUUUAUAAAGUCAUGUUUCACCGAGUUCCCUUGAUGCUUGUGUCAAAGAGCUGACCAUUUAUAUUUAUUUCUGUAUUGCAGAACUUGCAUACCAUUCAGAGCUAUAAAAAACCCACCUAUCUGAACAGAGAAAUGCAUUGCAACUCAGCACAAAAUGUCUAGCACAGGAAAUCCUAGAAGUGAAUUGCAGGAAGAAAUAAUACAUAGUAAUCUUUACAUUGAUGUCUGUAUUUGAUACAAAUUUAGAAAUCACGUUGAUGCAAAAUUUGCGUAAUAUGAAAUGGAGAAGGUGACAUUUCUGCAAGAAGUUGCAUAUAUUGGGUUAAAAUGCCUGUGUUUUUAUUAAUUUUACACAGGAUAAACGUGGACUUGGAAGACUGUUUUGUUUUCCUUUAGCUCUAAGGGAUAGUGGCAGACAAAGUAAUUUCUCUACUGAUGGUCACAUGCAAUGAGGUACUUGAUUGCAUAGAAGUGCUCCAGAGGGAGAACAAUGCUUGGAGCACUUGAUGCACCCAGAGUUCCUUGCCUUCUAGGCAGCAGAAGCUGCAUGACUUGCCUGCUCAAGCCUGUUACACUUUUGGUUAGAAAAUCUCGGCACUUGCACUUUGCUGCCUGCCAAGUUCUGAUCUCCACCUCUGUUCAGAAGGCCGCUUGUCACCCUGAUAUAAAAAGGGGAGCCUGGCGAUUCCUUAUUCUCCAUGUAUGACUUUUAAAAAGCUUUCCACUUGGAGAGAUGUCAUAGAAUCUUAAAAUGGCUUGGAUUGGAAGCGAGCCUUAAAGUCAUCUCGUUCCAACCUCCCUGCCAUGGGCAAGGACACCUUUGACUAGAUCAGUCAUCUUCAACCUUCUGCUACUGCCCUUUCCCUUUUCCUUCCUUCUUCUUUUUAAUUUUUGAGAGGAACAGAGAGUACACAGUUAGAUCUCUUCCUCAGAAGUGGGAGAUAACUGUAGUUUCUUUCUGUUCAUCUGUCAUGCUGUGUCCUCAGUUCCUUCUUGUUUGCUCUGGUGCUUCACAUGGAACUGCAGGAGCCAGCCACUCUUAAGACUGGUACCACCAAUGCAAUAUUUCUCUGAAAGCUGCUCCCAAUUCCACAGGUGGUUUUGAGAGGAAGGAGGUCACAGGAGCAACUGAGAACAGUAAACUGCUUUAAGAUUCUUUUAGCAGUAUUGCUGCAGAAUUUUUAUUGCCCCAGUGGCAAGUUUGAAUCAGGCCAUACACAGCAAUUUCCAUCUUAACCCAGAAGCCUGCUUGUGUAUCUUUGUGUCAGCUAUUAACAGGCAAAAGUCAAUAGUACAGGCACACACUAGAAACACCUAAAUCAAGUUCUGUGCCAGUAUUAAUUCUGGAGGGGCUUGUCUCUUCAUUUACUGUACAGGGAAAUGAGCCCUCAGUUGCUUAAAGGUAGGCAGCAUGGACACUAUCCCAAAUGUAGAGUUCCCCCUAAGUGUUGUCAUGAGUUGCAUUUUGUGGUAAAUAUGUCCUUAAUUAAACUGGUUUUGAAUUUGCCCACCUUUCUUAAAUCUCCUGACUACUGCUUUGUUCUUUUAAAGCAUGGUAUUUCAGCAGUGUUUGUAUUAUCUAUCUGUCUUUAUGCUGUUAGUUGCUUGUAUUUGUAUCAGAUUUCUUCCUGUUCUGUUUUCAGUCAGUAUGUUUAUAUGGCCCCAGUGUUUUUAUUUGCCUUCUUUCAAGCCAACAGCAUUGAAAGUUUCAGGUAUUUAGAACUAUUUAGGUAUGUACUGGAUGUAAAUAUUAUAGACUGUUUUUUUUUUAAAACAGAUACAGUCAACCCUCAAGUGUGAGACACUGGGAUGUGUAACAUGUAAAAGCCCUGAACAUGCAAAUAAUUGAACAGUCACACGCUUUUUUGUGUCCUGAAUUACACUAAAACUCCGGGAGGAGGUCAAAGACUUAGAUCCAAUAUCCUGGAGCCACUGGCUCAUACUGUAACAACAUGAGAUUGGACUGUGUUCAGGAAUUACUCCAGGAUGAGGAGCUCUUUUUUUGGCCUUCAAACAGGAGAGAAAUCUCAACAUAGAAUCACAAGUAGGUGACAAGGGCAGCAAGAGCUGUGGCUCUUUUUUUGAGGACAGCCCAACAAUGCUCUCAGAAAUUACAGAUGCAGGAGCCCCUGGCAAAUGGUUUAAAUGACAAAGAGGAUACAUCAAGAAAUCUCCAGCUGUUCUGUUCUUUCUUAGAAGGACUAACAGCUCUCCAAGUAUUUCAAGUCCUUUUGCUCAGAUCAGUAAGACCUGCAGUGAAACAGAACCAGUCCAGAACCUAUUCAGGCUGCUGGGUUCUUCAGUGUCCUAAACCGGGAGCGUAAACACUGCAGAAAUCUGCACUUCCUGUGUUCCCUUUUUCAGGGACAGAGAAAAGGACAUGUCUGGUCAUCAGUGCAUGAGGUGAACAGCUGGACCCUCUGGUUCCAGUCACCAACAGCCAGUUGUGUUUUCUCCUCACUUGUGGAAACUAAAAAAGUGAAACC